GAGAAACCCUGUCUCUGGGGGGGGAAAAUAUAUAUCAACAACCAUAGAAGGUCACAUACAUCAAAACAGUUGGUUCCUGUCGACAGAGUCUGUAUAGUUAUCAGAUUUUCUGUGCGAUGACUCCAUACAUA